rnacentral:rRNA from 1 species
CCUACGGGUGGCUGCAGUUUCGAAUCAUUCACAAUGGGCGCAAGCCUGAUGGUGCGACGCCGCGUGAGGGAUGAAGGCCUUCGGGUUGUAAACCUCUGUCACCGGGGAAGAAACGCUUCAGGUUAAUCGUCUGAAGCCUGACUUAACCCGGAGAGGAAGCAGUGGCUAACUCUGUGCCAGCAGCCGCGGUAAUACAGAGACUGCAAGCGUUAUUCGGAUUCACUGGGCGUAAAGGGUGCGCAGGCGGCCAAGUGUGUUAGGCGUGAAAGCCUGGG